rfam:Sodalis praecaptivus strain HS1, complete genome.
CAUUCGCAAGCCGGAACGAAAAGCACUUGGGAAGCUAAUGUUUUCAAAGCGCUUUUGGCGAGUGAUGUGAUGUUGUGUUUGCAGAUUGGACCGCGAAUGCGGGCCGCUUAACGUUUAAAUCCGUUUUAGGAUACCUUUUUCUGUCUGUCCAUAGAGAAAAGUAGCACCGCGCCUGCGGUGCUUUUUUUU